rnacentral:rRNA from 1 species
GAUGAACGCUGACAGCAUGCUUAACACAUGCAAGUCAACUGUGGCGGACGGGUGAGUAACGCGUAAAGAACUUGCCUCACGGAUAGGGACAACAUUUGGAAACGAAUGCUAAUACCUGACACUGUGAGAGAGCUUUGCGUCCCAUUAGCUAGUUGGAGAGGUAACGGCUCACAAAGGCGAUGAUGGGUAGCCGGCCGGAGAGGGUGAGCGGCCACAAGGGGAAUGAGACACGGCCCUUACUCCUACGGGAGGCAGCAGUGAGGAAUAUAGGACAAUGGACCAAAGUCUGAUCCAGCAAUUCUGUGUGCACGAUGAAGUUUUCGGAAUGUAAAGUGCUUUCAGUUAGGAAGCGGUACCAACAGAAGAAGGGACGGCUAAAUACGUGCCAGCAGCCGCGGUAAUUC